rnacentral:miRNA from 1 species
CCCUCACUCGGACGGGCUGUG